AGCCACAGCAUUCCUAGCUGGCUCUCCCCUUGAACACUGAGCAGAAGGCUGGGGCUAAGGGAGGCAGAAGAGAGGGAAAGGCAGGCUGGAGGAGAGGCAGGGAGAGGGAAGAGCUGAGGCCGGGGUAGGAGCUCCAAGGCUGGGGGUUCAGAGGAUGACAGGCCAGGGGGAGGUUUGGGGGGGGAGACAGUGUGUGAAGGUGGGAGGGCGGGGUGGAAAGGUGAGGAAGAUGGAGGCUGAGGAGAGGCCGCAAGAAAGCUGGAAUGUUAGGCUAGAGAAGGAUGAAGAUGAUAGAGGAGCAGGAAGAUAAAGUGAUAGUGAAGGAGAUGUUGAGAAAGAGCCAGUUGAGGGUGGCAGGGGCUGAAACAGACAGAUAUAUUACUUUUCCUGCAUAGAGGUAGAUAUAGGUGAGCUUUAAAGCUGAGGGAGAAGUCUAAAGCCUGUUAAGAUAUAAGAUGUAACCUAUGCUGGGGCUGGAGAGAAGUAUAGACAAGAGACAUACAAUAAGAGAAAAACAGACAGAAAUUCAGUAAUACAGCUUUCUGAGUGGACAGUCUGCUUUCCUUUUGCUGCCAUGGAUGUAAUGCUGGUUUGGACAGAAGCUGACGUCCAAUCAGACAACAGGACCGUGGCCCCUGUCAUAACGACAACCAUGACAUCAUGGCAAGGGCUAGCGGAGAGAAGACAGCGGAGCUCCAGACAGACAGCGGGGCUGCGCGGGGGCUGCACGCCGACCGCAACGCACCGGCUGCCGGAUCGAACCCCGGCGCGGACUACCGGGAGGAAAGAGGGCGACGGCGCCGAGGGGUUGCCGGAUGGCUACGGCCGGACUGGGAGCCCCGGCCCCGGCCAAGCUGAGGCUCGUUCACCGAGGGGGGAAGCGACAGACAGAUAUGGAGGAGGUUGAGCGAAAUGGCAUCUUGUUUAAUUUCUGCCAAUCAAGACGAGAGGAAGACAACUCCCAAACUGGCAUGAUGUAACAGGAGGGUGAAGACGCGAUCAACAGGCCUGGAAAAAUGCAGGAACCGGAUGGCAAAUGGGAACUGGAGUCGUGGCUGCUGUAAUCUCUGCUGUUCAAUUAGCUGCGCUGACCGGGACGCCACCUACACUUCAUUAGCUGCAAGGCGAAGGUGAGGCUGAUGGAGCAACAACAACCGAGCACACGGGAUGCAGAAGAUGCUGACACACACACACACACACACACACACACACACACACACAUACAACAGUAAAUGGGAGUCUGCUGUCAGGAGGGUGAGCCAUUUCCAGGUGAGGAAAACUGAAUUAAACUGAAUCAAGCUGAACCGAUCUGAACUGGAAUGACCUGCAGUGAAGCGAAAGGAAGGCUUCAGCUGGACGGCUCUCUGAGGUUUGGGGGAAAAAAUCAGUCAGAGAAAUAGCUUGAAAUAAUGCAGAUGAAAACGUGUUGUUUUUGAAGCUUGCCUUCCAGGCUUCCUGUGCUGUAUUUUUAAUAUUUGGGGUUUAUUCACUUUUACAUUAUGUUCUGUAACAUUAAUCAUGACAAAAACCUCAAUCAUGACACUGUAAAUAAUAAGCUUUCUCUUGUCUAUGUGUAAUCUGUAUUUCCCUAUUUUAUUAUGUCUGUCAAAGUUUUUCAAAUAUGUAUGUUCUUGGGGGACAUUGUGGAAUUAAAGAGGUAUAAAAGUGAAA